rnacentral:tRNA from 1 species
GGUGGGUUGGCAGAGCGGUUUAAUGCACCAGCCUUAGAAACUGGCGGAUGUUCGCGCAUCCCGUGGGUUCAAAUCCCACACCCACCGCCA